GUACUCGCUUCGGCGGCACAUAUACUAAAAUUGGAACGAUACAGAGAAGAUUAGCAUGGCACCUGCACAAGGAUGACACGCAAGAGUCCUAAGGAAAUGCAAUCCGAA